rnacentral:rRNA from 1 species
GACGAACGCUGGCGGCGUGCCUAAUACAUGCAAGUCGAACGCAGUGGGGACGGGUGAGUAACACGUGGGUAACCUCCCAUCAGAGGGGAUAACACUUGGAAACAGGUGCUAAACCGAUACUGAUGGAUGGACGCGCGGGGCAUUAGCUAGGUGGUUAGGUAACGGCUGACCAAGGCCACGAUGCAUAGCCGACCUGAGAGUGUGAUCGGCCACACUGGGACUGAGACACGGCCCAGACUCCUACGUGAGGCAGCAGUAGGGAAUCUUCGGCAAUGGACGAAAGUCUGAUCGAGCAACGCCGCGUGAGUGAAGAAGGUUUUCGGAUCGUAAAGCUCUGUUGUUAGUGAAGCGGUAUCUAACCAGAAAGCCACGGCUAACUACGUGCCAGCAGCCGCGGUAAUAC